ACUUACGACAGAGCCUUAGCCUUGUUAUAAAACUUGGACCAGCUGUAGGGCUAGCCGGCGGGUUGAUCUUGGAACGGCAGGUGGAGAGUCGAACAUUAGACAGAGAAUUCACAAACUGGAUUUUGAGUGAGGCAUGUACUGGCCCCAUCAUCAGGUAAACAGCUGGGACCAUCCUCAACCGCAAUCGUGAACAGUCGUGUCAUUCCGGCAUAGCCUACGGAAAAGAGCGAGAGACGAUCCAUAACGGAUCUCCAUGGAGACCGCUGUUUACACGACGCCAUUUUGGUUGUUGCUGCUACACUUCGUUUCCUCGUCAGUGUUUGCAUUUCGCUCUUUAUCCCGCACGUAUCCCACGUUCUGCACGAUGUAUGCUUCUGUUGCUUUGGCCUAUCAUCAAGCUGUGGACGAUCUCCACAGGUUUAGGACCUACCAGGCCCCCGUCUCCCAAAAGUCUCUCCCAGUCCCUGAUCCUUUGACAAACACUUCUCCACACAAUCGUAAAGGUUGUCAAGACUGGAGACGGUUUGCAACCAACUGAAAUGGAAGUCGCAGACAUGGAAGAAACGUGAAAACGACAAAACUGAAUCGACUACACUGUGUCCUCUAAGAUUUUCAGAAUAAAAAUGAAUCGUUCAU